GCUGGUCUUUGAAGCUCUGGAUUCUGGGACUGUUGGAAAAGCUCCAACAAAAUGAGGAAGAGGAGGGAGAAACACAAUUAGAUUUAAUUACAAUUGGAUGGAAGUCGAGGACAAGGAGAAGGAAGCUUAGGAUGAGGAGGAAGAGAAGCAGCAGAAGCAUCUUUAGGGAUCUCUAUGAUGUCAUUGAGAGGUAGCGGCGAGAGGCGGGACCUC